GACGAACGCUGGCGGCGUGCUUAACACAUGCAAGUCGAACGGAAAGGCCCUGCUUUUGUGGGGUGCUCGAGUGGCGAACGGGUGAGUAACACGUGAGUAACCUGCCCUUGACUUUGGGAUAACUUCAGGAAACUGGGGCUAAUACCGGAUAGGAGCUCCUGCUGCAUGGUGGGGGUUGGAAAGUUUCGGCGGUUGGGGAUGGACUCGCGGCUUAUCAGCUUGUUGGUGGGGUAGUGGCUUACCAAGGCUUUGACGGGUAGCCGGCCUGAGAGGGUGACCGGCCACAUUGGGACUGCGAUACGGCCCAGACUCCUACGGGAGGCAGCAGUGGGGAAUAUUGCACAAUGGGCGGAAGCCUGCUGCAGCACCGCCGCGUGCGGGAUGACGGCCUUCGGGUUGUCAACCGCUUUCGCCUGUGACGAAGCGUGAGUGACGGUAAUGGGUAAAGAAGCACCGGCUAACUACGUG
rnacentral:rRNA from 1 species